rnacentral:lncRNA from 1 species
CUUGUUUCGGAGGCCUUCCAGUCUCCCACACAGCUAAGUGAGUCCGAAGAAAACAUACGCUGUUUCAAGGAGGCGAAGGACUUAGCUAUGCAGUAUCUGGGGGAAAGCAUCCCCGAACCGGAAGCAGCACCUACAAGAGCUUGAGGCGUGAAAGUGCACGGCUGAGUGAAGAGCGAGAACGUAACCGAAGAGCUGGUCGUGAGGCGGAGUGGCAGUCAGGCCACUUAGGGUUCUGCAGCACGGGGGGGACUACCCUUUCCCUGAGCGAGACAGGAGGCUCCUGGCAGGUUUUGAACGAGGGUCAUGAACGGUCUUGUGCGUGCAGAAGCUACUCUGCGGGUGGCAGAGAGAAGACACCGCAGCAUGCAAGGGCAGGAGCGGGCUGAGCACAGGCAGAGGCAUCAACUGAGACGCGG